CGGGCGCUCCGGGUCCCAAGGCCAAGACCAACUUCACUCUCUCCCUCCCUCACGCCCAGCCCCAGCUCCACCACCAUCAGCACCACCACCACCACCUCACCUACCCACCCUACUCCGCUGCCAUCGCUAGCUAGGCCAGCCACCACCAGCCUUAACUCCACCGUUGAGUCAUUCGGCACCAGGCCGCGACUGAUCCUUGAUGGUGACUGCCACAAUGAUUGCGGGUUGUCGGCGUCGAUGGUUAAUGAGGACUGCACGGAUGCCACCGCCUCACUGUCGUGUCAGCACACGUUUCAGUUUGACCUCAACUUGCCGCCUAUCGGCAUUGGCGUCGGCGACGUUGGUUGUGUCUGUUGGAAUUAAUGGAUGGGCC
rnacentral:lncRNA from 1 species